AUUGAACGCUGGCGGCCGGCCUAACACAUGCAAGUCGAACGAGUGGCGGACGGGUGAGUAAUGUCUGGGAAACUGCCUGAUGGAGGGGGAUAACUACUGGACACGGUAGCUAAUACCGCAUACCAUCAGAUGUGCCCAGAUGGGAUUAGCUAGUUGGUGGGGUAACGGCUCACCAGGGCGACGAUCCCUAGCUGGUCUGCGAGGAUGACCAGCCACACGGGAACUGAGCCACGGUCCAGACUCCGACGGGAGGCAGAAGUGGGUAAUAGUGCACAAUGGGCGCAAUCCUGAUGAAGCCAUGCCGCGUGUAUGAAGAAGGCCUUCGGGUUGUAAAGUACUUUCAGCGGGGAGGCGUUACCCGCAGAAGAAGCACCGGCUAACUCCGUGCCAGCAGACGCGGUAAUAC
rnacentral:rRNA from 1 species